rnacentral:rRNA from 1 species
UACGGAAGGCAGCAGUGGGGAAUAUUGCACAAUGGGCGCAAGCCUGAUGCAGCCAUGCCGCGUGUAUGAAAAAGGCCUUCGGGUUGUAAAGUACUUUCAGUCGUGAGGAAGGUGUUAAGGUUAAUAACCUUAGCAAUUGACGUUAGCGACAGAAGAAGCACCGGCUAACUCCGUGCCAGCAGCCGCGGUAAUACGGAGGGUGCGAGCGUUAAUCGGAAUUACUGGGCGUAAAGCGCACGCAGGCGGUUUUGUUAAGUCAGAUGUGAAAUCCCCGGGCUCAACCUGGGAACUGCAUCUGAUACUGGCAAGCUUGAGUCUCGUAGAGGGGGUAGAAUUCCAGGUGUAGCGGUGAAAUGCGUAGAGAUCUGGAGGAAUACCGGUGGCGAAGGCGGCCCCUGGGACGAAGACUGACGCUCAGGUGCGAAAGCGUGGGGAGCAAACGAGGAUUAGGAUACCCGGU